CGCCGGCUACCCGAGACGUCUUAGCUCUUGCCAAGCAGCUUUCUCCAUGUGUCCGGAUCCUGAGUUUUUGGCCGGGGCCGGGUUCGAACCCGCCACCCCCAGUAUAUGGGACCAGCGCCCUAACUCCUUGAGCCACAGGCACCGCCCCCAAAUCAACUUUCCAUCAUAAGAAAUAGAUGUUUCUUUGUCAUCUCAGCACACCAUAUGAAGAGGCAUGUUCAGGAAUAAAGAGGAACCUCGGACUCUGUUCUGAAGAAGCGACUCCUUCCAGCAUCACCUCCCCCACCUGCUACACUCACAGGACCACUCUGCCUGGCAUUCAAUAUAAUCUCUUGUGGUCCCUAUUCCUGCCACACAAGAAGCCCAGGGCACUGAGUUCAUCUCUGACACCCAAAGCUGAUCCCCAUGUGGCUCUAAGGACAAGAGAUUUACUUUGU